GCCGGGCGACUGUUUCGACUGGCACAUACUGCAGGAAUUUUAGUCAGGGCGGUUCAAUUUUUCUUUUUUCUUUUUUUAAUAAUCUUCUUUAAUGGUUUUUCAGUUAAUCACAUUCGUCACAUGGUUUUAACAUUCGUUGGAUGCACUAACUCAUCAUGAGUAAUUUCGUAAGUAGUCGUUAAUUUGUAAUAAUUAGUUGCAGUUAACAAUUUGAUAUAUUACAUUUUUCAUUUGUAUAGAAGCAAGGCCGCACGUAAGAAUCAGAAUUUGCAAGAAUGGGAGAUCAAGCAACGCCUAGUCACAAAUCAUCGAGGUCAGAC
rnacentral:lncRNA from 1 species